rnacentral:lncRNA from 1 species
CAUGUUGCAGCUCGAACUGGUGACUUAUCACUUAUAAAAGUGUGCUUCCGAAAUUUGUGUUAAAAUUGUGUUUCCAAAUUGACACUUUUGUUAGUGGGGAGUUUUAACUGGUCUUGACAGGUGGUAACCUGGUGACCGUUUGAUGGCAUUCUAGAGACUUCUAUACCCUUAUAUUCAGUCGGUGACUUUGAUUGCACAGUGUGAAGUGAUAUUUUCUUGGUUUUAGCAGACCGUCUUUUGGCUCUCUCUCUCUCUCUCUCUCUCUCUCUCUCUCUCAUUCUAGGUGAAUUAGGGUUCUUAUUUUGAGUGUUAUACAGUGAUUAAAUGAUGGUGAAGUAUUUGUAAUAUUGUAAACUGUGAGAGAGAGGUGAUGUUCUGUGUUGUUUGUUCGUGAAUCUAAGUGAUUCCACUUAUGAACCGGUACGGGUUUUGGAAGAUCUAAGUGAUCAAGCUUGAUUCCUUGGUGGAAAGUGGUCUAAUUCGUGAUUUUUGUAGAAGAUAAGUCUUCGUGGCUCAGUCUUUGUGAUUUUUCUUGAACAUUUGUGUAAUCUUGUUGCCAAUUUUUGGCUAUAUAGUGCAAUCAAACUAAAUCAAUUUGUAAUGGAUGCUCAAUGGGGAAUUAGGCGUUAGAUGUGGUCGUCGAACCUUUGGGGCUACGGCCAAAAAAAUCUGUGUUAAUUUUUUUAAUUUUUG